rnacentral:rRNA from 1 species
AAUAGAUACCCAGGUAGUCCACGCUGUAAACGAUGAGGACUAAAUGUUGGUAGGGGAACCUAUCGGUAUUGAAGCUAACGCGAUAAGUCUUCCGCCUGGGAAGUACGGCCGCAAGGUUGAAACUCAAAUGAAUUGACGGGGGCCCGCACAAGCGGUGGAGCAUGUGGUUUAAUUCGAUGCAACGCGAAGAACCUUACCUACCCUUGACAUCCUGCGAAUCCCGAUGAGAGUUGGGAGUGCCGCAAGGAGCGCAGAGACAGGUGCUGCAUGGCUGUCGUCAGCUCGUGUUGUGAGAUGUUGGGUUAAGUCCCGUAACGAGCGCAACCCUUGUCCUUAGUUGCCAGCAUUAAGUUGGGGACUCUAAGGAGACUGCCGGUGAGGAACCGGAGGAAGGCGGGGACGACGUCAAGUCAUCAUGGCCUUUAUGGGUAGGGCUACACACGUGCUACAAUGGGGCGUACAGAGGGUCGCGAACCCGCGAGGGGGAGCCAAUCUCGAAUAACGUCGUCGUCGUACGGUCGUAGUGGUAGUC